rnacentral:lncRNA from 1 species
AAAAUAUAUUUUUUAGAAGAAAAGUAAUUAGAGUCGUUCUAACACUCUCAAUGAUAGCAUUACCUGAUUAAUUCUUGUUUCAGCAAUGCAGAGGGGAAGUAAACAAGAACAAAGUGUCACCUGUUGAUGGAUAUGACAGUUUACAGACUACAGCUUACCGCUGUGACCCAUUAAGUAGUCUUUGCCAAAGAAAUUCUACGAUUCAUACGUAGUAGCAUGCCAAUAGUUUCUUUUAUUCCUCUGCAUUGUAAAUGUUACCUGGGGCAUUUUACAACAACGGCUACUGAUCCAUACAAAUCAAGUAUCAACAAUCAAUUUAUCCCUGACAUCUCUUGCUAAGUAUGGCAUAUACUGAAAAAUAUGAACACUGACUUCUCUGGUGUUUAAGCUAACAUUCCUACUAAGAGUCAUGAACUGUAAUAAACCAUCAGGGCUACUAAGAACAUUACCACACAAUGCACAGUUGACGUUAAUAGCUACAUUUCAUUCUGUUGUGAAAACCAUCAAGAUGGCAGCGAAUGCUAGGAAUUAAUCUCACAUAUAAUCAGAGAUAGUGUAUAGCAGUGUACGCAGUAAGCUGAUGAGGGAUGUGAUGACAGAGAUGCACACUCCUCUCUACUCAUUCCCAGCUAGACCUUAAACAAAUGUUACACAAAUGUAUGCCAUAUUUUACAUUGGUUGAAGAACUGUCCCUGCCAUCAACAAUGGAACACCGCUCUACAAUUGAGGGCAAGGGACCAGGAGACUGCUGCUCCACGAUGUUCUUACCAAUGGCUGAAGUAUUGAUUAUUGACUAACAGGCCCCUGAAGGACUCACUGUAUGAUAAAAAACUUUGAAAUAUGUUCGGUUUUAUUACCAAGAAAAGAAGCACAAAUUCCAUCCUUUGACUCUGGCUUCAUUUUUUUUUCAGCUCUGAGAUCCAGCAACGGUUCUCACCCCUCAUUUUUAAGCUACUCAUGAAAGAUAUCGUUUCGGCAGAAUCUAUAAGCUCUUUGCAACAAUCAGUGAUUUAUUGAUUUUCAAAUCAGUGCACUUUUAAAAUAUGG